GUGUGCAAGAUGGGCACGCUGCAUGACAGACAGGCUUUCACAUGAUUACAACAGCUAGUUCCACAAAACAGUUAUCAGAGAAAACAGAAAUGUUAAAAGCGAUGAGGCUCUGAUCCUAAUCUGGGGCUUUCUGUCUCCUCCUUCAUACAUGGGGCCCCCCCGGCUGGUGAAGAGUCUAAUGAAGAAGGAACAGACACAGUCUCACCUGUGCCUUUCUGGCGCGCCAGCCUCUAAUGCUGAAAGGUCAUUAUAAUCCAUGGGAAGAUGCUGCACAGAACCCGCUCGCUGCACUCAUUUGCCAGGUGCAGGGAGCACAGAGCGGGGGAGGAGGGACGGUCCUUAUCCCUAUGAGGGUGGAGCAACAGGGGGGAGGUGAAGAAAGCGGAUGAAGCAGCAUUUGAAGCUCAUACUGACAUGCUGCUCUGCAGGUUCCUGUGAGCACAGGUAAGGACUCAUAAUAAGAACUCUUAUUGCUGUACAUUCAUAUUUUUCUGUUACAUGUAAUAUAAAUGUUUUUUCUGGGAUGACAGACAUGUUUUUUUUACAGGUUGAACCAGUCUGACUGUCAUUGUCAGCAGGUUUGCAACACAGUCUGUCAACUGUACUUGUUUACAUUAUGGCAGCCUAUGGGAGCUAAAUAUAAACAAAAUACAUUAAAAAAAUCAUACACACAGAUGAACUUAAAGUCAGUCUGUUUAAAAUCGCCUUUAAACAGCUGUCUGGUCCACAGUUCAUACACAUAAAAACAAAUACAUUGAUCUGGAACCCUGACCCAGAACGCUCUAUACUCAAAGUGUGUAAACAUGAAUGUAGUUUAAAGGGUUACAGGAGUCACAGAGAUAUCUUCCAAAGUUUGUGGCAUUCCUGAGCUCCUCCACCCUGAGGCUAAGGCUUUCGAAACAAUGACACGCAUGUGUGUUUUGUGUUGUUGUAGCCAUGGAUGGUGUCUUGGAAGCAGCCACAGUGUUGUGUUUAUGUAAGCUGGCCUGCAGUCUUCCCUUCCUGCCCUCACUGGCAGCCUCCAACAGUCCCGUCAGUUUUUGCUGCUGCUGCCUCCUGGUCUUCACAGACUUCCUGGUCACAGUUUUUCUCAGCUUCCUCUGCAUCUCUGAGUCCUGGCUCCCUGAACUGACACCACAGGCAGAUGUCAUCGCCCUGCGCUUCCUGCUCUUCCUCAGCCACACCUAUGGCGUGGUGCUGCUUCUGACCACGCCUCUGAUCGCCGUGGAGACAGUGAUGAGACUGAUGUGGCCUGUUGUCGCUUACAGGAGUCAGACAGCGGGCUCUGAAGGACAGAAUGUGGCGAACGUGGACGAAGAGGAGAGAGACGACGCAGAUAAAGGUGAAGACAAGAGGUCGCCUCAUGUUGUCGGCUACCUCUGCUGCCUGUCAGUGUGGGUCAUCGUCGGUCUCAACGUCAGGUGGAGAUGGAAGAUGGAGGAGGUGUGGGUAGCUGCCUGUGUGGACACAACUAACCUACUUGUCAGGUGUCUGCCCAACCUGCUCAGCCCAAUGCCCACUGCUGUCAAUCCCUGCUGGGGUAUGGCCUUCCUCCUGCUCCUCCUCCUCCUACUGACCACCGGCAUGAGCCUGCAAAGAAGACACAGGGAUGGAACACAAAGAGUUAAUCAUAAGUGCUGGCAAGGCCUGGUUCCAGUAUCGUCUGCACCGUUCAGUCCUAUGAAUCCUGGGAUGUUGCCAUGUGUUGACCCAGAGAAAACAGAGAGCAGCUGCACCGUUCACAGAGCGGAUUCCUGGAACAGUGUGCAGAUGUCAGUGUGUCACCAUGGAGACUUUGUCCUCCUCUCCCCUGCAUGUCUCUCUGGAAAGAGGGGAGGACAGGAGCACGAAAGAACAAAGAGAGGUAUACCUCUGACAUUUAUCACAGAGCAACAGCACGUGGACUCGGGGCCCAGGAGUUGGUGUGGGUGGCGACGGUGGUGGGGCUUUCCCUGCUUGGGGGUGAAUGUAAUGAUAGGUUCUGUGGGUGUGCUCACCAUUUUUGUGCUGCCGCUGAACCUCAGUGUGAAUAUUCUUCUCAUCAGGACUAUAGAGACUCUGCUGGAGUGGUGUGUUGUAACUUUAAUUUCACCUGUGGGAAACACAAGAGACACAUUCAGCUCACACAGGGAAGCAGCAGUUUAACAAGAGACACGUGAGAAGACAAAGUAGAGGCUGAUAGGCUGAAGAUUGCAACAGGAUCAUCAGAUUAAUAUUACAUGUGUGCAGACAGCGGGUAUACCUGUUAACACCGGCUUUGAAUAGAAUGUGAAUAAACAUUUGUGAGCAGCAGCUAUUCACAUGUGAGGAAUAAUAUGUGGAAACUGCUGAAAGGUGCUGAGGAGGCAGGUUGAGGCGUGCUGGGCAGAGUGAGACCUGACAGGAACAGAUGGUGGAAGGCCUUCUUUUAUGGAUCUGAAGCUGUUUGUCAAUACACAAUGGGGUACGAAACAAGCCUCACCCAUUUAAAGAGGACUAAUCGGGAGUUAAACUGUUAUGAUGUGAAGUCUGCUGACGCUGCAGCACAUACAAGUUGCAUAAAUAAAUACUUAGUGACUUCAGGGUGCUGCUGAGACUUUAGUUUUUAUACCUGCACUUAGGUCCAAUGACCUGCUCCUCAAAGGUUUGAUGUUUACUCGUGCUUAAGUUCACAUUAAAGGUAGGAGCUCCACCACAUUUGAAGCUCUAAGGUUACAUUUAAAGCAACAAUGCAAAUAUUCACUCUCCCCCUGCUGGCAAGAAGCAAAUGAGUGAACUCAGCUCAGACUGUCCUCGCUGACCUUUUGGAAUGAGAGCUAAACCAGCAUGGCCCUUAGAAAGUGACAGAGAAAAUGCAAGCAAGCUGGCUAGCAAAGGUUAAUUUUUUAUUUGCAUAUAGUAUUCUAGAGCAUUAGAGAUGGUUUAAAAGUAGCCUUUGCUUCUGUUUUAGGCUGUAAUCUAAUCUAACUUUGUUUUUUUAUUUAUCUGAACCAUCAGAACAUUUUAUUGGACUUUAAACACAGAUGUAAACCUCGCUAUCCUGUGAAGUACAAAGAGGUCCAUGCAACAGUCUCAUGAGUCAUGAGAAUCCCUCAGAAGUCAGAGCGACAACUCAGC
ensembl:lncRNA